UACGUAGGGUGCGAGCGUUAAUCGGAAUUACUGGGCGUAAAGCGUGCGCAGGCGGUUUUGUAAGCCAGAUGUGAAAUCCCCGGGCUUAACCUGGGAAUGGCAUUUGGGACUGCAAGGCUGGAGUUUGGCAGAGGAGACUGGAAUUCCUGGUGUAGCAGUGAAAUGCGUAGAUAUCAGGAGGAACACCAAUUGCGAAGGCAGCUCGCUGGGACGUUACUGACGCUGAGACGCGAAAGCGUGGGGAGCAAACAGG
rnacentral:rRNA from 1 species